ACAUGAGGAGGAAGGAGCAGCAGAGAGGAACUGUUAUGGACUGACCACAGCCCCCAUUCCCCAUCAUCCUGUGUCACUCCAGAGAGUGAGGAGGUCAAGGGAUCAGGAAUGAAGGAGUGAGGUUGAGCCUGGAAGAAAGGGGCAAAGCCAAAGUGUACGGGGCAGGAUGUGAAUUUAUAGCCAAGAGAAUUGCCUGAUCAAGUCUUGAAACAGUUAAGAGACUUCAUCAGUCUCAUGUGUUAAAGAGUAAAUAAAGGAAGAUCUCAGUGUGUCAAAGCAGACUAUCUUUGAACAAAAGUAUACCGUGAUGAGCAAGUAUUCACAGAGAACAAAGGCUACAGUAUCAGAAGAAGAAUAAAGUUAUAAAACUGAUAACAAAAAAAUAGAAUUCAUUUGAUACAUAAUUUUUAAAAUGUAAACUCUUAUAAGGAACUCUUAAAAUAGUUGAGGGGAAUCC